rnacentral:rRNA from 1 species
CUGAUGGAGGGGGAUAACUACUGGAAACGGUGGCUAAUACCGCAUAACGUCGCAAGACCAAAGAGGGGGACCUUCGGGCCUCUUGCCAUCAGAUGUGCCCAGAUGGGAUUAGCUAGUUGGUGAGGUAACGGCUCACCAAGGCGACGAUCCCUAGCUGGUCUGAGAGGAUGACCAGCCACACUGGAACUGAGACACGGUCCAGACUCCUACGGGAGGCAGCAGUGGGGAAUAUUGCACAAUGGGCGCAAGCCUGAUGCAGCCAUGCCGCGUGUAUGAAGAAGGCCUUCGGGUUGUAAAGUACUUUCAGCGGGGAGGAAGGUGUUGUGGUUAAUAACCGCAGCAAUUGACGUUACCCGCAGAAGAAGCACCGGCUAACUCCGUGCCAGCAGCCGCGGUAAUACGGAGGGUGCAAGCGUUAAUCGGAAUUACUGGGCGUAAAGCGCACGCAGGCGGUCUGUCAAGUCGGAUGUGAAAUCCCCGGGCUCAACCUGGGAACUGCAUUCGAAACUGGCAGGCUUGAGUCUUGUAGAGGGGGGUAGAAUUCCAGGUGUAGCGGUGAAAUGCGUAGAGAUCUGGAGGAAUACCGGUGGCGAAGGCGGCCCCCUGGACAAAGACUGACGCUCAGGUGCGAAAGCGUGGGGAGCAAACAGGAUUAGAUACCCUGGUAGUCCACGCCGUAAACGAUGUCUACUUGGAGGUUGUGCCCUUGAGGCGUGGCUUCCGGAGCUAACGCGUUAAGUAGACCGCCUGGGGAGUACGGCCGCAAGGUUAAAACUCAAAUGAAUUGACGGGGGCCCGCACAAGCGGUGGAGCAUGUGGUUUAAUUCGAUGCAACGCGAAGAACCUUACCUGGUCUUGACAUCCACAGAACUUUCCAGAGAUGGAUUGGUGCCUUCGGGAACUGUGAGACAGGUGCUGCAUGGCUGUCGUCAGCUCGUGUUGUGAAAUGUUGGGUUAAGUCCCGCAACGAGCGCAAC